AGAAUACACUGAUUCUACUUUUACAGCACCAAAGUCAAAACCUCCCUGGGCUGGUAUUCAAGGCCCGACUAUCAGAACAGUGGUGAACGACAGGGUUGUGGUGCACUUCAAAAACUUUGCAUCACAAUCUUUCAGCAUUUCUCCCAUCGGCAUUCAGUACUGGAAACAAUCGGAAGGCGCAGGGUACGAGGACUUCAGCUCUGUUCAGGAGCGAGCGGAUGAUGCAGUGCCUCCUGGUGGUUACUACAAGUACGUGUGGGACAUUUCCCCCAACUCCGGGCCAACCACAUCAGAUCCAGACUGCCUUACCUACAUUUACUCAUCACAGGUGGACAUCAUCCGAGACUUGAACAGCGGACUCGUCGGGACUCUCCUGAUCUGUAAAACAGAGGCUCUGACUGAGGAGAGACAGCGGAAGGUUCCGGAGUUCAUUUUGCUUCUUGCUGUCUUCGAUGAGAGUAAAAGUUGGUACCGGGAAGUUGGCCGAGCAGACAAACUGAAGAAAACAUCAAGUCCAACCCAGUACCACACCAUCAAUGGAUACAUCAACUCAACAUUA